GCUGCUAGAUGGAUAGUUUAAAGUUCCCAGCUUUAAGAUAUAUGCUGUUGCCUGUUCAAGAAAAACGUUCUUCUAAAAUAGCAAAGUGAUGGACAAGCACUUCUGUAUGCUAGGCAAAAUUAAGAUUAUAGCUAAGGAAGCAUGUGGAAGUGCUAUGCUUGGACAACAUUAAUGGGAGUCUUCAUGCUGCACAGAUUCCAGUUCUGAACCUCCAUGGGGGGAACAAGAUUUGCUUCCUCUCUUCUGUGGCAUAGGUGUAACAUUUAUACAAGGAACCAAUCAGUGGAGC